rnacentral:rRNA from 1 species
GUGGGGAAUAUUGCACAAUGGGCGAAAGCCUGAUGCAGCGACGCCGCGUGAGCGAAGAAGUAUUUCGGUAUGUAAAGCUCUAUCAGCAGGGAAGAAGAAAUGACGGUACCUGACUAAGAAGCACCGGCUAAAUACGUGCCAGCAGCCGCGGUAAUACGUAUGGUGCAAGCGUUAUCCGGAUUUACUGGGUGUAAAGGGAGCGCAGGCGGAAGGCUAAGUCUGAUGUGAAAGCCCGGGGCUCAACCCCGGUACUGCAUUGGAAACUGGUCAUCUAGAGUGUCGGAGGGGUAAGUGGAAUUCCUAGUGUAGCGGUGAAAUGCGUAGAUAUUAGGAGGAACACCAGUGGCGAAGGCGGCUUACUGGACGAUAACUGACGCUGAGGCUCGAAAGCGUGGGGAGCAAACAGGA